GCUAUAGUUUUUCUUGAAACUCUUCAAAAGAUAUACACCUCUCUUUUUCUAGUUUCCAAACUUAGUGAAGCACUGAAGCCCCCAUACCCAGUAGCCCAACCUCAAAGUUUCAAUUUAAGUGCACUGUACCCCUCUCUUAUCCUGACAUGUAAUUUCACCACUGAAAAUUGCAAAGAAGGAUUAUGUUCCAAUUUUAAGACCCCAUUACUUAAUGGCACGUUUUACAAUAUUUUAUUGCAAGUUGAAAUCCAGAACAAGAAAUGGCAACUUGUGGGAAGCAGAUCUCACAGCAAACAACUAGCUUUGCGGCACUUGCUCUUCUUAGCUAAAGCUAAACUGGUAAACCUUUGCACGCUGACACGAGAAGCAAACUCCACACUUCUGCAGCAGAAAAUUGAAAAAAAAUGGCAGCAAUGGCCUUGAAAAUUACAAUAAGCUCUAAUCCCAAUACCAACGGCGUACUUGCACCUCCUCCGAACAAGCUACAUGCUCAUCUUUUACCCUCAAAUCAAAAGAGUUUUGGCCGCAGACUCCUUGGGAGUAUACCUCUAUCAUUGAAACGAAGUAAAAGGAAUUGGCAUGCGCCACUUCGAGUAUCGAGUAGUCAGGCUUCUGCGUCUAACUCCUUUGAUGUUGUCAUAAUUGGUGCCGGAAUCAUUGGGUUGACCAUCGCCCGCCACUUGCUCCUUUCCUCUGACCUCUCCGUCGCCCUAGUUGAUGCUGCUGUUCCUUGCUCGGGCGCAACUGGAGCAGGUCAAGGAUACAUAUGGAAGGCACACAAAUCACCAGGUACUGUUAAAUGGGAAUUAAUGAUGAGAAGCCAUCAAUUAUGGGAGAGCCUAGCCAAGAGCAUUCAACUUCAAGGCAUGGAUCCUUUAGAGGUACUUGGCUGGAAGAAGACAGGAAGUCUUUUAGUUAGUAAAACAGCAGAUGAGUCAGCAAUGUUAAGAAUGAGGGUAGAGGAGCUAUCACAGGAGGGGCUGAGAGCAGAGUUCUUGUCCACCAAUGACUUGCUAUCAGAAGAACCAGAGCUUGUGCUUGAGAAGGAAGGUGGAGCAGCUUUUUUCCCUGAUGACUGCCAAUUGGAUGCUCACCGUACUGUUGCAUUUAUUGAGAAGGGUAACAGGCGUUUUGCUGUUGAAGGGAGAUAUGCUGAAUUUUAUCAUGACCCAGCUAUUGGAUUAGUUAGGCCUGGAAAUAGCUGCGAGGUUGGAGCUGUUCAAACUUCCAAGACUACAUUGCAUAGUAAGAAGGCUGUUGUAAUUGCAACAGGUUGUUGGACUGGGUCUUUGAUGCAUGACCUGAUUAAGCAACCAGAUAUCGAGCUCGAUCUUCCAAUAAAGCCUCGAAAGGGUCACCUGCUUGUGAUAGAGAAUUUCAAGUCGUUCAAGCUGAAUCAUGGAAUUAUGGAGGCAGGGUAUGUCAACCAUCAGUCAGCAACUCUCAAAGCUACUGCGUCUGAUUCAGGGCCUGUCUAUAAUGCACAAGAUCUGUCUGUUUCAAUGACAGCAACCAUGGAUGCAUCAGGCAGUCUUGUCCUUGGGAGUAGCCGACAGCUUGUUGGGUUUAACACAGAGGUUGAUGAAUCUGUCAUCAAUCACAUAUGGCAGCGGGUUGGGGAGUUCUUACCUGCUUUAAGAAAAGAGUCGCUUGAGGAUUUGCGUCAAAGCGGAGAAAUUAGAGUAGGAUUGAGACCUUACAUUCCGGACGGAAAGCCUGUCAUUGGGCUUGUUCCUGGAUUUUCGAAUGUAUUUCUUGCUGCCGGGCAUGAAGGAGAAGGACUGUCGCUGGCUCUAGGAACAGCUGAAAUGAUUGCUGAUAUGGUAUUGACCAAUCCUUGUAAAGUUGAUCCAGCACCUUUUGCGCUGCUAGGCCGGUGCUUCCGCUGAGCAGUGAGCCCAAUGCAAGGAUUGAACACUUAUGAAGCCUAAAUUUAAAAGCUUAACAGUCUCAAGAUGACAAAAGCUCCUGGAAGUCCAAAAUCUCGGUCAACCUCGAAUGUCAAUUCAUACUGAAAACCUCUGUUACCGUUAGGCUUCUUGUGGAUACGUUUCCCAUGAUUCAGGUACGCUUCUUGACUCAGCUUCCCUUCCCCCGUACCUAUCAAAAGGGAAGAAGGAAAAGAAGCAAAUCUAUUGUAAAUUAUGAAAGAAAAACUAGUAAUCAUAGUGUCUAUAUAUCAAGUUGGCUUACUUGGGUCAAUUUUAGAGAGACUGUAUAGUUGAAUACGGAUAGCUUUUCCAAGGCUUGAUUUUGCAGGGCAAUGUUGAAUGAUGAUUUCUCCUUUAA